AUUGAACGCUGGCGGCAGGCCUAACACAUGCAAGUCGAGCGGAUGAAGGGAGCUUGCUCCUGGAUUCAGCGGCGGACGGGUGAGUAAUGCCUAGGAAUCUGCCUGGUAGUGGGGGAUAACGUCCGGAAACGGGCGCUAAUACCGCAUACGUCCUGAGGGAGAAAGUGGGGGAUCUUCGGACCUCACGCUAUCAGAUGAGCCUAGGUCGGAUUAGCUAGUUGGUGGGGUAAAGGCCUACCAAGGCGACGAACCGUAACUGGUCUGAGAGGAUGAUCAGUCACACUGGAACUGAGACACGGUCCAGACUCCUACGGGAGGCAGCAGUGGGGAAUAUUGGACAAUGGGCGAAAGGCUGAUCCAGCCAUGCCGCGUGUGUGAAGAAGGUCUUCGGAUUGUAAAGCACUUUAAGUUGGGAGGAAGGGCAGUAAGUUAAUACCUUGCUGUUUUGACGUUACCAACAGAAUAAGCACCGGCUAACUUCGUG
rnacentral:rRNA from 1 species